UCUCGAUAGCGUAAAAGUUAACUCAAGUUUUCUAUGGCGUCGGAACGUUUGCGUACGUUUGCCGCUACGGGCGCUGUUCCAACUGCAUACAAAUUUGAGUUAACUUUUACGCUAUCGA
rnacentral:pre_miRNA from 9 species